UACGUAGGGGGCAAGCGUUGUCCGGAAUCAUUGGGCGUAAAGCGCGUGUAGGCGGUUCGGUAAGUCUGCUGUGAAAGUCCAGGGCUCAACCCUGGGAUGCCGGUGGAUACUGUCGGACUAGAGUACGGAAGAGGCGAGUGGAAUUCCCGGUGUAGCGGUGAAAUGCGCAGAUAUCGGGAGGAACACCAAUUGCGAAGGCAGCUCGCUGGGACGUUACUGACGCUGAGACGCGAAAGCGUGGGGAGCAAACAGGG
rnacentral:rRNA from 1 species